GACGGAAGGUGCAAGCGUUAUCCGGAAUGAUUGGGCGUAAAGCGUCUGUAGGUGGCUUUUCAAGUCCGCCGUCAAAUCCCAGGGCUCAACCCUGGACAGGCGGUGGAAACUGCCAAGCUGGAGUACGGUAGGGGCAGAGGGAAUUUCCGGUGGAGCGGUGAAAUGCGUAGAGAUGUGGAGGAACACCGAUGGCGAAGGCAGCCUCCUGGGCCAACACUGACGCUCAUGCACGAAAGCGUGGGGAGCAAACAGG
rnacentral:rRNA from 1 species